CCCCAGGGAAGGGUCGAGAGCGCGCUCCCUACCGUGGCGGCGAAGCUAGCGGCGCCGCGCUCUUCAGUUCCAUGAAGGACAAGGAGGCAUUUGAAGGCCUACUUUAUUGGAUUGUAAUCUCCAGCAAAAUUUGUAGAUGAGAGACUGGAGAAAGGGAGAGAAGAAGAAAGAGAGAAUGGAAAAAGAAUGAAAGAAAUUAUAAUUAAAGUCUAAGCAUUUUCUGGGGUUAAUUUGAAUUGGACCAGUUGGUUUUGUUUUGCAAUACAAAAGAAAAAUUCAGGCCUUGGGGCCUAAAACUUUCAUUAAAUUCAGCUUUGGUGAGUUCUAAUAAUACAGCGGUUUAUUACAAGCGUGAAAAAUGUCAUUGUGGAGGCCUUCCUAAGCAGCAGCCUCACCUCUUGGGUAUGACUCAUACUUCCUCCAUGGCCGCCUGAGCUGUAAAGUUGUGGGCAGGAUAUUUAAGGUCCAGUGAACCAGCUCCUUGAAUCCUUCUUGCCAUUUUACUGGGAUCAUGUCCCAAUUAGCAAUCUUGCCAUCCAGAGCAGUAGCUGGACAGCAAAAGUGAGAGAGGGGCAGGGUGCUUAGGGCUGUUGCAAAUGAUUAGUCCAAAAGAGUAGCGUAAAACUUAGAACUCAGUCCCCGGCAGGAGUCUGCUGGAGGAAAUGAAGGGAUCAACAACAUGAGAGGAGUACUGUGGCCGAUUGUUCCGACCACAGCCACAGGCUUUUCUGUGUGUGCCGGAAAUUGACCUCGUCAAAAGCUGAGGAUGCAGGCUGGGCAAGGAUAAUGAUAAGGUGAAGACGGCUGGCUUCUCCGCUGGAGGGAUACCCUUUCCUAAAUGUCCUUGAAUGAUGUCUGAAUCCUGGAUGAGCCCCAAACCCCUAGGAGUGUGAGGUGCUCAGAGCGCUGGAAAGACCAAGCAGGAUUCUUCCCAGCAUGGCCCUCCGGUUCCCCUUGGCACUCUAUACCUAACUGCGGAUAGGCUUUGGCGGCUGUUAAAGAAGGCUUAACUGUGAGACAGGAGAAGCAAUAAAGUACCGAAAAGCAAUAAAAGGAAUUUCCCAGAAAAGAAAAUGUCUACAUUUUUUCAGCAUCUAAAGUGAAACCUAUGCAGACAGGCAUCCUAUGGUAGGGAAGGGGGACAACAUUAAUUGGGCACAGUUUUAUCUGUGUUAUCUCAUUUAAUCUGUUAUUUAAGCUUGGAAGGUAGGUAGCGCUUUAUUACCCCUAAUUAAAUGUAGGGAGAUAUUGAGGCUCACAGAGAUGAGGCAUACAGCUAAUAAGUGGUAGGGCUCCAGGCCCAUUCUCUCUUCACUACCUCACUGUGCCUCUCCAUCCAAAGCUCUGGUAAACCAUCUCUGGGAGGUCGUGCAGAGCGCAGAGCCUCACAGUGACUGC